CCUUCCGGGGCCGCUGUCCCCCGCAGCCCCGCAGCCCUGGGGCGUGCCGGGUGGGCAGGCCUUACUCGCCGCCUAAAUGCGCCUGAACCGAAACGCCGGCUCGCCGGCCCCUCCGCCGGCCCGGCGCGGCGCCUGCAGCGGUAUUUGUGGGGAACUGAGGUUAGAAAUUAAUCUGUGCAUGCACCACCGAAAGAGUAUGUGUGUGUAAAUAGUGCUCUCGCUUCCCUUCCCUUCCCUUCCUCUUCUCUUGCUGUGGGAGGGAUGUCAAGUUGGCUGCCAGGGCCAUUAACUAUUACAUAAGAAUUUAAUAGCAGUGGAUUCUGUCGUCCUGCCAAAUGCAGACCUCGCUGCCAGGACGGAACUGGGUGAAUCCGAUUUAUUCCGUGUGGUUCAACGGGGGCUUUGGGGCGCUGUGUGCCAGGCAGGCACUUUGAAGCGUACAGAGGUGUAAAAUCCAGAGUUUGGAUCUAGGGAUCUCUUUCGAUUUUGAAAGCCUACUUCGUCCAUCCGAUCAUCUGUUCAACAAACGUGGACCCCACACUUGCGAUGUGGGAUAUAUUGCUGAACAAAAGACACAAAAUUAACAGUCUCCUGAGGCUAACAAUCUAACUCUGUGCCUGCCUCUUCAUCUUUGGGCUACUGUGACAUCUUCUUAACCCAACUUUCUAAGUUUACUUCCUAUAAUCUUUGCUAUAUCCAGUUUCCAGAGUGAUUUUUCCUGAGUAAAAUUUUACUGUUUUAUCAUG